CUGCUGCUGUGAUUUACUAUCGCAAGCGCCAAAGAAGAAGGACAGAUAUGGAUAUGCAGUCCAGUGAUCAGGAGAACAUGAAGAGAAGAUUGGAAAUGAGAGAAGAGCAUAAACUGAAACUCAC